rnacentral:rRNA from 1 species
GAUGAACGCUAGCUACAGGCUUAACACAUGCAAGUCGAGGGGCAUCAGGAAGAAAGCUUGCUUUCUUUGCUGGCGACCGGCGCACGGGUGAGUAACACGUAUCCAACCUGCCCUUUACUCGGGGAUAGCCUUUCGAAAGAACGAUUAAUACCCGAUGGCAUAAUGAUUCCGCAUGGUUUCAUUAUUAAAGGAUUCCGGUAAAGGAUGGGGAUGCCGUUCCAAUUAGGUUGUUGGUGAGGUAACCGGCCCACCAAGCCUUCGAUGGAUAGGGGUUC